rnacentral:rRNA from 1 species
CGUCAAGUCAUCAUGGCCCUUACGCCCAGGGCUACACACGUACUACAAUGGCGAGCACAAAGGGCAGCGAAGCCGCGAGGCGCAGCCAAUCCCAAAAAACUCGUCUCAGUCCGGAUUGCAGUCUGCAACUCGACUGCAUGAAGUCGGAAUCGCUAGUAAUCCCGGAUCAGCAUGCCGGGGUGAAUACGUUCCCGGGCCUU